CUAAUACGUGCGAAGCGCCGAAGCCGCGAGGCGACGGCGUUCUCGCCGGAUGUAGGAACCGACCCCGGGGACCGCCGGGGGCAACCCCGGGCGCCCCCGAGACGGGGCGAACCACGGUGAAAUGACGGAUCGUCGGCCCCGCGCCGGCGACUCGCCGAAUGAGUUUCUGACCUAUCAACUCGAGACGGCGGGGUAGAGGCCCGCCGCGGUAACGACGGGUAACGGGGAAUCAGGGUUCGAUUCCGGAGAGGGAGCCCGAGAAACGGCUACCACUUCCAAGGAAGGCAGCAGGCGCGCAACUUACCCUAAUCUCGAUUCGAGGAGGUAGUGACAAGAAAUACCGAUGCGGGACCCUACGGGUGCCGCGUUCGGAAUGAGUACGAUUCGAACCACCUAACGAGGAACGAUCGGAGGGCAAGUCUGGUGCCAGCAGCCGCGGUAAUUCCAGCUCCAAUAGCGUAC
rnacentral:rRNA from 1 species